rnacentral:rRNA from 1 species
UAGUCCACGCCGUAAACGAUGGAUACUAGCUGUUCGGACUUCGGUCUGAGUGGCUAAGCGAAAGUGAUAAGUAUCCCACCUGGGGAGUACGUUCGCAAGAAUGAAACUCAAAGGAAUUGACGGGGGCCCGCACAAGCGGUGGAGCAUGUGGUUUAAUUCGAUGAUACGCGAGGAACCUUACCAGGGCUUAAAUGCAGAUUGACAGGUUUAGAGAUAGACUUUUCUUCGGACAAUUUGCAAGGUGCUGCAUGGUUGUCGUCAGCUCGUGCCGUGAGGUGUCAGGUUAAGUCCUAUAACGAGCGCAACCCCUGUUGUUAGUUGCCAGCACAUUAAGGUGGGGACUCUAACAAGACUGCCGGUGCAAACCGUGAGGAAGGUGGGAUGACGUCAAAUCAUCACGGCCCUUACGGUCCUGGGGCUACACACGUGCUACAAUGGGUAGGACAGCAAGCAGCCACUGCGCGAGCAGGAGCUAA